AUCCGACUGCUAUCCGGGUAAGACUAAGCCAUGCAAGUCGAAUGGAACAGCUUGUUCCAUGGCGAACUGCUCAGUAACAAGUGAUCAACUUACCCUUCAGUGGAGCAUAACCUCGGGAAACUGAGGCUAAUACUUCAUAGUUGGAACUGCCUGGAAGGGUUUUCCAUCGAAAGAUAUUCCCAAUUGCGGGAUGUUCGCUGAAGGAUAGGAUCGCUUUCGAUUAUGGUAGUUGGUGAGGUAAUGGCUCACCAAGCCUAUGAUCGAUAAGGGCCGUGAGAGCGGUAGCCCUGAGAUGGAUACUGAGACAAUGAUCCAGGCCUUACGAGGCGCAGCAGGCGCGAAGCCUUUACAAUGCACGUCAGUGUGAUAAGGUUACCCGGAGUGCUAAGAGAACAACUUUUAGCUGUUAUAGGUGUGUAAAUAACCCUAUGAGAAAGGAGAGGGCAAGGCUGGUGCCAGCCGCCGCGGUAAAACCAGCUCUUCAAGUGGUCGGGAAUAUUAUUGGGCUUAAAGUGUCCGUAGCCGGUUUGAACAGUUCCUGGUUAAAUCUGGUAGCUUAACUAUCAGUCAGCUAGGAAUACUAUCUUACUAGAGGGUGGGAAAGGCUUGGGGUACUCCGGGGGUAGCGGUGAAAUGCGAUAAUCCUCGGGGGACCACCAGUGGCGAAGGCGCCAAGCUGGAACACGCCUGACGGUGAGGGACGAAAGCCAGGGGAGCGAACGGGAUUAGAUACCCCGGUAGUCCUGGCCGUAAACGAUGCGUGCUAGGUGUUGGAAGGGCUUUGAGCCGUUCCAGUGCCGUAGGGAAACUGUUAAGCGCGCCGCCUGGGAAGUACGCUCGCAAGAGUGAAACUUAAAGGAAUUGGCGGGGGAGCACCACAAGGGGUGAAGCCUGCGGUUCAAUUGGAGUCAACGCCGGG
rnacentral:rRNA from 1 species